rnacentral:rRNA from 1 species
GACGAACGCUGGCGGCGUGCUUAACACAUGCAAGUCGAACGGAAAGGCCCUGCUUUUGUGGGGUGCUCGAGUGGCGAACGGGUGAGUAACACGUGAGUAACCUGCCCUUGACCUUGGGAUAACUUCAGGAAACUGGGGCUAAUACAGGAUAGGAGCUCCUGCUGCAUGGUGGGGGUUGGAAAGUUUCGGCGGUUGGGGAUGGACUCGCGGCUUAUCAGCUUGUUGGUGGGGUAGUGGCUUACCAAGGCUUUGACGGGUAGCCGGCCUGAGAGGGUGACCGGCCACCUGGGGACUGAGGUACGGCCCAGACGCCAACGGGAGGCAGCAGUGGGGAAUAUUGCACAAUGGGCGGAAGCGUGAUGCAGCAACGCCGCGGGCGGGAUGACGGCCUUCGGGUUGUAAACCGCUUUCGCCUGUGACGAAGCGUGAGUGACGGUAAUGGGUAAAGAAGCACCGGCUAACUACGUG